UAAUACAGAGGGUGCAAGCGUUAAUCGGAAUUACUGGGCGUAAAGCGCGCGUAGGUGGAUAGAUAUGUUGGCUGUUAAAGCCCCGAGCUUAACUUGGGAAAGCCAGCCAAAACUGUCUGUCUAGAGUACAGUAGAGGAAAGUGGAAUUUCAGGUGUAGCGGUGAAAUGCGUAGAUAUCUGAAGGAACAUCAGUGGCGAAGGCGACUUUCUGGACUGAUACUGACACUGAGGCGCGAAAGCGUGGGGAGCAAACAGGAUUAGAUACCCUGGUAGUCCACGCCGUAAACGAUGAGAACUAGCUGUUGGGAAUUUUUGUUCCUAGUGGCGUAGCUAACGCGUUAAGUUCUCCGCCUGGGGAGUACGGCCGCAAGGCUA
rnacentral:rRNA from 1 species